UACAGAGGGUGCGAGCGUUAAUCGGAAUUACUGGGCGUAAAGCGUGCGUAGACGGUUAUUUAAGUCGGAUGUGAAAGCCCCGGGCUCAACCUGGGAAUUGCAUUCGAGACUGAAUAGCUAGGGUGCGGUAGAGGGAAGCGGAAUUUCCGGUGUAGCGGUGAAAUGCGUAGAUAUCGGAAGGAACAUCAGUGGCGAAGGCGGCUCUCUGGGCCCUACCUGACGCUGAGACGCGAAAGCGUGGGGAGCGAACCGG
rnacentral:rRNA from 1 species